UGGCAGAGGCUUUAUCAGUGCAGACAGAGAGAUGCAGGUGUUGAGGACAGGAGCUGGAGUACUUGGAGUGGAGGGUGCUUGAGCUCAGCCAGCCAUACCUCUGGGGUUUUUCGGCCUUGUGCUUUGUCACGUGAAGGUGAUGAGAGUCACAUCAUCCUACUGGAGAGUCACAGAACAGGCUGAUGCAGAAGACAUACUGGAGACAAGGAUGGGAAAUCCUGUCUGCUUCAUCAUCCCAAGAGAUGUGGAGAGGGGAAGGAAAAAAAUGGCAAACCCUUCUCUGAGAUGUUUUUAGGAAGCAAUGUCAUGAAUAUGUACUACAAGUGCU